UGGUGCGACAUUCUCUCCUCCCGCUUUCGUCCUGCCUCCUGCGAACGUCGUCCCGCACGCCCCUCGCCCGCCUCCUCCUCCACGCAGUCCUCCACGCAGAUCGCCUGCGGAUCCGGUCCCGCGUACCUCGCCCUCGCCCGCCUCCUCCCUCGCCCGCCCGGCGCGCCUUCGCCGGCGCCCGCCUCCUCCUCCACGCGGAUCCGCGCGGCGCGGACCUCGCCCGCCUCCUCCCUCGGCCCGCUUCCACACCUGCGACGCGCUUCCCUCAUCGCAACCUUCCUGCGACCAAUCUUCUCCUCCAAUCACGCAAUCUCAUCUUCCAAUCCAAUCUUGGGGUCGUCGCUCGUGGAACCUCCCAGAAGGAAAAAACGCCACACAGCGUCACGUUGAUUGCGGCGCCUGCUCCCUUCCUCGUGCGAUCUGUGGCCCUGCUCCCUUGAGCGGAGCGCACUGCAGAGCCGGUCACCGGCGAGGUGGUGCUAUGCAUCCACCCCACCCAGGAGGCGGAGCACUGCCGCUAGGAUGUCAUCGGCUACCUCAGGCGACUCCUCGGCUCCUCCCUCGGCUGCGAGGUGCGUCCGUACCCGCUGCUGUGAUCUGUCUCCCCCUAAUCCCCAUGGAAGCACCCCAGGAAGCCCCACCAGGCCCCAAUCUAGACUUCCGUUGCCUUGAUCCCCAUCCACCUCUGUGGUUUCAUCACCAGCGACACUACUCCACCUCCUCCAUCGAGGCAAGAUGGAUGCGACUGGUGGCAACACACAAUGGCACUGGAGGACCUGGUGCUCAAGGCUAGAUCCACGAAGGAGGUUGCCUUGUCGACCACAGCUAAGGCAAAGGCUGGAUCAGAUGAUGGUGUGUUGAGGACGACAAGAGAUGCCUCACUUAGAGGAGGACAUGGCAGCCAACGGCGCCGCAGGCGAGGAGUUCAACAAGGGCAAGCUUCCUCCAUGGCUUACUAAUCUACACAGUGUCACGAGAUAAUCAGAAGGUUGGGUCAGAAUCGCGAAGCUGCAGGCAAAAGCCAGCUGCGAAAGAAGGUGAUGGUGUGAGCAUCAGCGGUGACUUUUCCAAGUUCCUGGCAGUAAAUUUUUUUCAUUGCACAAAAAUAAUGGUGCAAGGCUGGGAAAACUUUACAAAAAUUGCACAAAAAUAAUAGUUCUCAGAUGUAUUAGCAUGUAUUAGUCUGUACAAAAAUAAUAGUUCUCAGAUGGUGCGAAGCUGCAGGCCAUUCAAUAGCUUGAGAGCUGUAAGCUCAAGCUUUCUCAGAUGGAAAAGGACAUGCAGCAACUCGCUCACAAUCUUUUUGUCAUCGGUCAUUGAACUUGUACCUUGUGAUUGAAAUUAUGUGAAAUGUUCUAGGAAGACUCUUUUCACUGAAAUUAUCUAAUUUGGUAUGUGUUUUCACUAGAAUGCAUGUGACUGAACUUAGCUUAUUUCCCUAGCUGUAAACUGAACAUCUUAUGUUUCUCCCUACUUUGUGCAUGAUGCUACCAUGGAGACUUCAUGAAGACUACUGUCAUGGCGAUUGAAUGAUCAUGGGCCUUCUUCUCAGUUACGGAUGAUGGUUGUCAGCGGCUAUCAUGGAGGCUGUUGCGAGGGUCUAUGUAUGAUGUAUGGCCUCUCUCUUACAUUGACAUAUUAAGAAUUAAAAUAGGGGGCAUGAUCCUAUAGAUGGACUACGUGAUAGAUGCAAAGCCAUUGCUCAAGAAAAUGAAGAUGAAUGAAAUAGGCCUCAAAAGCGCUUGAUUCUAUAUGGCUUAUGCACUAUCUUAUGAGAAGCACAAGAGGUCCAAUGAUACAAAGAAGAUGUAUCGUUUGGGGAUCCAGAAGAACCGUGUUGGGUUUGUAUGAGGACAGCAGAUACAAGUUUGAAUCAGAAAAGGUGCAUCUGAAAAAGGUUUAUGUUAUUGGACUAGGUUCUGGUGCCAAGGUGGAUCUAAAACUUAAGUAUGCUAAUGAUCUUUCGCGAGUGUGUUAUUCAGAAGAGAGCUUGUUAACUAGAAGUAGACAUGAAGGUAGAACAAUUUAUUUUUUAUGCUUGAUUUGCCUAUGGACACUUUGUUAGUUUGAGUUGGAUGCUAUGUAUGUGGAAUUUGGUCAAGCAGCUUUGUACAUUGACAUUGCCUUAUGUUUUGGCUUCACUGGGGCUUGGUGGUGAAAUCAUAUGGUAUAUUUCUAUUGACCCCUGUAUGUAUUGAAGAUUAUAGCCUCUGAUUUUAAAGAUAUAUUUCUUUGGAAUAAAAUUCCUGUUCUCUAGCAAUUAUUGAUUUCACCCAAGUUCCUUACAGGUGUUGGCAUCUGAAACUGGUGGUAUAACACAAGGGAUUGGAACAUAUCAGUCUGGCAAGCUGUUGCCACAGUUGUUCUUCACCAUGGAGACAGUCCACAUUGGAAGCAAACCAUGAUAAAGGAUGAACUAAACAAGGCCUUAAGCAUCUCUAUUGCUAUCUCUUCCAUGGAUGAGUUCAUUGUCAUCGUUCACCUGUAUGUUCGUUGCUGCUGCCACUUUUCAUCCGUAAAGUUCCAAUUCCACAUCAAGUAGACUCAGGCCUUGUUUAGAUAUGAAAAGAUUUUGAAUUUUAAAUAUUGUGUAAUUAUGGACUAACUAGGAUCAAAAGAUUCGUCUCGUGAU